GUAGAUGAGGAUGAAACAAAACUACCUGACCAAGGAGAUAAGCAGCAAAACGUCCAAACUGUCGGUGAUGAUGCAAGGGUCUCCCCAACAAAGGUUUUUUCCAUACCUAUUUUUUUAUUUUUUAAUUUAGUUAUCUCAACCUCCCAUAUUUCUUCCAUCAUGCUAAUACUCAGUAUUCUGUCCUCAGUAUGUCUCAACUCCUACCUCCGAGCAGCAUAUCAACGAUGAGUUUUUGCAGAAGCCAAUAUUUGACACUGCCCCC
rnacentral:lncRNA from 1 species